rnacentral:rRNA from 1 species
AUUGAACGCUGGCGGCAGGCCUAACACAUGCAAGUCGAGCGGAUGAAGAGAGCUUGCUCUCUGAUUUAGCGGCGGACGGGUGAGUAAUGCCUAGGAAUCUGCCUGGUAGUGGGGGAUAACGUUCCGAAAGGAACGCUAAUACCGCAUACGUCCUACGGGAGAAAGCAGGGGACCUUCGGGCCUUGCGCUAUCAGAUGAGCCUAGGUCGGAUUAGCUAGUUGGUGAGGUAAUGGCUCACCAAGGCUACGAUCCGUAACUGGUCUGAGAGGAUGAUCAGUCACACUGGAACGGAGACACGGUCCAGACUCCUACGGGAGGCAGCAGUGGGGAAUAUUGGACAAUGGGCGAAAGCCUGAUCCAGCCAUGCCGCGUGUGUGAAGAAGGUCUUCGGAUUGUAAAGCACUUUAAGUUGGGAGGAAGGGCAGUAAGUUAAUACCUUGCUGUUUUGACGUUACCGACAGAAUAAGCACCGGCUAACUUCGUGCCAGCCGCCGCCGUAA